UACGUAGGGCGCAAGCGUUGUCCGGAAUUAUUGGGCGUAAAGAGCUCGUAGGCGGUUUGUCGCGUCGGAUGUGAAAGCCCGGGGCUUAACCCCGGGUCUGCAUUCGAUACGGGCAGACUGGAGUGUGGUAGGGGAGAUCGGAAUUCCUGGUGUAGCGGUGAAAUGCGCAGAUAUCAGGAGGAACACCGGUGGCGAAGGCGGAUCUCUGGGCCGGUACUGACGCUGAGGAGCGAAAGCGUGGGGAGCGAACAGG
rnacentral:rRNA from 1 species